CCUACGGGGGUCAGCAGUGAGGAAUAUUGGUCAAUGGACGAGAGUCUGAACCAGCCAAGUAGCGUGAAGGAUGACUGCCCUAUGGGUUGUAAACUUCUUUUAUAAAGGAAUAAAACGAGGCACGUGUGCCUUUUUGCAUGUACUUUAUGAAUAAGGAUCGGCUAACUCCGUGCCAGCAGCCGCGGUAAUACGGAGGAUCCGAGCGUUAUCCGGAUUUGUUGGGUUUAAAGGGAGCGUAGAUGGGUUGUUAAGUCAGUUGUGAAAGUUUGCGGCUCAACCGUAAAAUUGCAAUUGAUACUGGCAGUCUUGAGUACAGUUGAGGUAGGCGGAAUUCGUGGUGUAGCGGUGAAAUGCUUAGAUAUCACGAAGAACCCCGAUUGCGAAGGCAGCUUACUAACCUGUGACUGACAUUGAUGCUCGAAAGUGUGGGUAUCAAACAGGAUUAGAUACCCGAGUAGUC
rnacentral:rRNA from 1 species